rnacentral:rRNA from 1 species
AUGGAGCUGACAGAUACUAAUCGAUCGAGGACUUAACCACAUUUUGAAUGAUGUCACACCUGUUAUCUAGUUUUGAGAGAACACUCUCAAUUUGUUUGGUGGCGAUAGCGAAGAGGUCACACCCGUUCCCAUACCGAACACGGAAGUUAAGCUCUUCAGCGCCGAUGGUAGUCGGGGGKUUCCCCCUGUGAGAGUAGGACGCCGCCAAGC